AGGGACAAAAACUGAAGUGGAUGGAGGGGGUAGAAAGAGAGUGGUCUGAGAAUAGUGUAGUUGUAUUCUUAGGAGAAGUGGCUUAGUUGAUUAUGAAUUGAUAUAGUUGUAGUUAAAUUUUGUGAAUCCCUUAGAAGUAGCCUGUGGAUAGCAGAUCGCUUGACUGUUCUUCUGGAUAGGCUGUGGCAAGUCAAGCUCAACUGCGCCUAGAACUAAUUUUGCAGCUUUGAACAGAAUUGUUGAAUGUACCCCAUCUCUCUUCUGCAUUGCUAAAGAAUACUCCACUAAUGAACUGAAGAAAAAAAAAAUAUUUUCCUCAGGAGUACAGUGGUUCUCAUUGAAGAGAAAGACUGGACAAGAGAAAAAGUAUCUAAAGUCAAAUUAGGAACUUCCUAAUGAAUGUGUGCUCUUCGUUUAGUGUGCUCAUGGAGCACAUGAUGAUAUGAGAGUACUGACACUCCACUGCACUUAAGUAAUCCUCAGUUUUAAUGUCCUCUCCCUGUGCAUUACUGAAUUGGAGAAGAUGCAUCUAAAUAAUGAAUGUAAAUUGCCUGUACUUGUUUGGGGUUCAGCUGAAGACAAACUUUGUACAACUGUGAUCUUAUGUCCCCCUUCAGAUCUAGCAGAAAUCUUCUAACCAAACCGAUGCUAUUUUACAAGGCCAGAUCUUCAAAUUUUUCUGUUUUCUGAAGCUUAAAGUGAGCCAUAGAACUGGGAGGCUUAACAGCUUAUCUCAAAGGGAGAAAAGACUGAAAUAGAUACUCAGGAGUUGUUUAUUUGAUACUUUCUCUGUUUUACACUCAACAUACAACAUUUGGAAUUAGUCAAGCCCGAGUGACAGUUGCUGUAGCUCUCUGCAUCCCAUCUCAGUCUGCAUGUUUUACUUCUGAGAUGUAUGAUCUGCUUUUGAUUAUGAAAGUAGACUUCUAACACUAGAAGACCCACAAAUUCCAAAUCCUCUGUGGACUGAGGAAAGCUGAGGGAUGAACAGAAAAUCGUUAUUACUUGACCUAAGCAGAACUUCCACAGUCUGUUUAUCUUCCAGUCUCUGCUGUCCAGCCUAUGUCAUU
rnacentral:lncRNA from 7 species